AAAGAGCUUGCUCUUUUCAGAAUUGAGUGGCAAACGGGUGAGUAACACGUAAACAACCUGCCUUCAGGAUGGGGACAACAGACGGAAACGACUGCUAAUACCGAAUAAGUUCCAAAGGCCGCAUGGCCCAUGGAAGAAAAGGUGGCCUCUACCUGUAAGCUAUCGCCUGAAGAGGGGUUUGCGUCUGAUUAGCUUGUUGGUGAGGUAACGGCCCACCAAGGCAACGAUCAGUAGGGGUUCUGAGAGGAAGGUCCCCACAUUGGUACUGAGACACGGACCAAACUCC
rnacentral:rRNA from 1 species